GGCCCCAUCGUCUAGCCUGGUCUAGGAUACAUGGUUCUCAUCCAUGAGACACGGGUUCGAAUCCCGUUGGGGCUA
rnacentral:tRNA from 1 species